rnacentral:tRNA from 1 species
GGGGCCGUGGCCUAGCCAGGAAUGGCGUCGGGCUCCAGACCCGAAAGCCAGGGGUUCAAAUCCCCUCGGCCCCACCA